rnacentral:misc_RNA from 1 species
GAAAUGCGAUAAGUAGUGUGAAUUGCAGAAUUCAGUGAAUCAUCGAAUCUUUGAACGCACACUGCGCCCUUUGGUAUUCCAAAGGGCAUGCCUGUUCGAGCGUCAUUUGUACCCUCAAGCUUUGCUUGGUGUUGGGCGUCUUGUCUCCAGUUCGCUGGAGACUCGCCUUAAAGUAAUUGGCAGCCGGCCUACUGGUUUCGGAGCGCAGCACAAGUCGCGCUCUCUUCCAGCCAAGGUCAGCAUCCACAAAGCCUUUUUUCAACUUUUGACCUCGGAUCAGGUAGGGAUACCCGCUGAACUUAAGC